AGUGAGGAAUAUUGGUCAAUGGGCGCGAGCCUGAACCAGCCAAAUCGCGUGAAGGAUGAAGGUAUUAUGUAUUGUAAACUUCUUUUGUCGGGGAAUAAAGUGCGCCACGAGCUGGUGUAUUGUAAGUACCCGAAGAAUAAGGAUCGGCUAACUCCGUGCCAGCAGCCGCGGUAAUACGGAGGAUCCGAGCGUUAUCCGGAUUUAUUGGGUUUAAAGGGUGCGUAGGCGGACGUUCAAGUCAGCGGUGAAAGUUCAUGGCUCAACCAUGGAAUUGCCGUUGAAACUGGAUGUCUUGAGUGUAGAUGAGGUAGGCGGAAUUCGUAGUGUAGCGGUGAAAUGCUUAGAUAUUACGAAGAACUCCGAUUGCGUAGGCAGCUUACUAGGCUACAACUGACGCUGAGGCACGAAGGUGCGGGUAUCAAACAGGAUUAGAUACCCUGGUAGUCCGCACAGUAAACGAUGAAUACUAGCUGUUUGCGAUAUACGGUAAGUGGCAAAGCGAAAGCAUUAAGUAUUCCACCUGGGGAGUACGCCGGCAACGGUGAAACUCAAAGGAAUUGACGGGGGCCCGCACAAGCGGAGGAACAUGUGGUUUAAUUCGAUGAUACGCGAGGAACCUUACCCGGGCUUGAAUUGCAGAUGAAUAAGCAGGAAACUGUUUAGCCAGUAAUGGCAUCUGUGAAGGUGCUGCAUGGUUGUCGUCAGCUCGUGCCGUGAGGUGUCGGCUUAAGUGCCAUAACGAGCGCAACCCUCAUCAUUAGUUACUAACAGGUCAUGCUGAGGACUCUAAUGAGACUGCCAGCGUAAGCUGUGAGGAAGGUGGGGAUGACGUCAAAUCAGCACGGCCCUUACGUCCGGGGCGACACACGUGUUACAAUGGGGGGGACAGCAGGCAGCCACGCGGCGACGCGGAGCUAAUCCCCAAACCCCCUCUCAGUUCGGAUCGAAGUCUGCAACCCGACUUCGUGAAGCUGGAUUCGCUAGUAAUCGCGCAUCAGCCAUGGCGCGGUGAAUACGUUCCCGGGCCUUGUACACACCGCCCGUCAAGCCAUGGAAGUUGGGGGUGCCUAAAGUACGUAACCGCAAGGAGCGUCCUAGGGCAAAACCGAUAACUGGGGCU
rnacentral:rRNA from 1 species